ensembl:snRNA U6 U6 spliceosomal RNA
AUGAUCAUUUUGACAGCCUGUGCAUUAAAAUUGGAGCCAUACAGAAGCUAGCAUGGCCUUCGCACAAGGGUGACAAGCAAGUAAGUGAAGCCUUCCGUGUAUUU